CAGGGAAAGACAAACCAUGGAACAGUGAAAUCUCAAUAGGUCAUUCUUACUUUUAACCACCUGGGGGAGCUUGUCUGUAUUUGAACAGCCUGUGGCUCUUGUGUUGAGCCCAAGGGGACAUGAUGAUCCAGAGAUGAACAAAAAAAUGCUGAGUGAAUCGGUAGAGAGACAGACAACCAUUCAAACUCACAUUCACACCUGUGGGCAAUAUGAAAAUCCCUAGUUAACCUGACCCCAUUAAUUGCAUGUCUUUGGAAGCCAAAGUACUUGGAGAGAACCCAAACAGACAUGGAGAGAACAUCAAAUGCCAGACAAAAAGGCUCCAAGCAGAUGGUGGAUUUAAACCCAGGAUGUUCUUGCAAUUAGCCAAAGGAAUUCCUAAUAAUCACUAACCCAGCAAACAGACCCACGUGCCCAAAGUGGGCAACACAGGGAUGUUGACAUGCUGUGAACUGGAUUAAUGCUGUCUCUCCUGUUUUUUGAGUCAUUCUCAGAUACCCUGCAAGGCGAUAAGUUCCCUGCUAAUUUUUAAAGACAUUGAGGCUUCCAGGAUGUUCUACCUGUGGAUAUGCUUGAGUCUGUUCUUUGUUCUGCAAAGCACUGUAUCAUCAGAUCAAGGUGUGUCAGUGAAUUGCAACGAGACUGCAGAAGUUGGAAAAAGUAAAAUGUACCUAAAAUGUCCCAUACAUUGGAAAGAUGGCUCAAACUGUAGAGUUCAAAAUUAUACCUGGGAGAACACAAAUGGGCCCAUACAAUGUAACUGGACAAACUACAGCUGUGAAUGGGAUCCUCAGAAGUAUGUGGCUCUCACCAUUCAACGUGUCACGAAAGAGGAAAACGUUACAGUUGAAAUCAGGUCAGACUGUGGUAUGGCUAAAUCGGGAGUACAACUACUCCGUAUUGCAGGAAAUGGAGGAGGAAUGCAGGAGUCACAUGUGAUGGCCAUCAUACUCUGUGUUUUUCCCACAGCUGUAUACAUUUUCACUCUAUAGAAGUCAGACACAAUUUCAGUGACAGAUUCUGCACUGUGAAUUAAAGGCUGAUUGUUGUGUUAUAUGUGCA